rnacentral:lncRNA from 1 species
UCACAAGUGUGGAUUAUUGAUUCUUGCCUAAGAUUGCAAACAUUGGUGAUGAUGUCAAUACCACAAUAGGAAAGAAGAAGAGAGAUGCAUAAAAGAUACAAUCAAAUAAUAUGGAUUAGCUCAAGGCUUACCUUUAUGGGGCAUGCAAGCUCUACUAUGGGAGAAAAAUAAAUACAAAGGAGAUCACACCCUCUUAACUCUCAUAUAUCAAUCUCUCUCUCUCAACAAGAAAUACAAAAUCCUCACAAAUCUCUCAAAGCCCUCUCAAGAAGACCCUCUACCGUCAUCCCA